rnacentral:snRNA from 1 species
AUUGCUUCUCGGCCUUUUGGCUAAGAUCAAGUGUAAAGUGUGUUAUUAUAUUUAUUGUCAUUCAAAUAGACCAUUU